rnacentral:misc_RNA from 1 species
GCCAAUGACUUUAAUACAAAGCUUCGCAAUGCCCGUAAAUUCCUAGAAAAAGGCGAUAAGGUGAAAGCAUCCAUUCGUUUCCGUGGUCGUGCAAUUACGCACUCACAAAUCGGACGUGACGUACUUGAACGUCUCGCAAAAGAAUGCGAGGACAUCGCAACGAUUGAGGCCCGCCCAAAAAUGGAAGGCCGCAGCAUGUUUCUCGUUAUGGCACCUAAAACCGAGAAAUAAGGGCAGGAAUUAGUUAAAGGAGGACGUCGUUAUGCCUAAAAUGAAAACACACCGAGGCGCUGCUAAGCGUUUUAAGAAAACAGGAACUGGCAAGCUUAAGCGCUCA